UACGUAGGGGGCAAGCGUUAUCCGGAUUUACUGGGUGUAAAGGGAGCGUAGACGGCAUGGCAAGCCAGAUGUGAAAUACCGGGGCUCAACCCCGGGACUGCAUUUGGAACUGUUAAGCUGGAGUGUCGGAGAGGCAGGCGGAAUUCCUAGUGUAGCGGUGAAAUGCGUAGAUAUUAGGAGGAACACCAGUGGCGAAGGCGACCUGCUAGAACAUAACUGACGCUGAUGCGCGAAAGCGUGGGGAGCAAACAGG
rnacentral:rRNA from 1 species